AAGACCCUCCAACUUGCCGAACGCCGUCAUGUACUCGGUGCCAGAGUCCAGCACCCGCUCGUCCUGCUUGGCCUGCUCAUACCACGAUUGGAACUCGCGGAAGGCUGUGAAUGCUUCUGUGGAUAAGUGGUAUGAGCAUGCGUCCCAUUAGUUAGUUGGUAAGGUAACGGCUUACCAAGACGAUGAUGGGUAGGGGUCCUGAGAGGGAGAUCCCCCACACUGGUACUGAGACACGGACCAGACUCCUACGGGAGGCAGCAGUGAGGAAUAUUGGUCAAUGGUCGCAAGACUGAACCAGCCAUGCCGCGUGCAGGAAGACGGUCCUAUGGAUUGUAAACUGCUUUUAUACAGGAAGAAACCCUCCCACGUGUGGGAGCUUGACGGUACUGUAGGAAUAAGGAUCGGCUAACUCCGUGCCAGCAGCCGCGGUAAUACGGAGGAUCCAAGCGUUAUCCGGAAUCAUUGGGUUUAAAGGGUCCGUAGGCGGUCUUAUAAGUCAGUGGUGAAAGCCCAUCGCUCAACGAUGGAACUGCCAUUGAUACUGUAAGACUUGAAUGCUUAGGAAGUAACUAGAAUAUGUAGUGUAGCGGUGAAAUGCUUAGAUAUUACAUGGAAUACCAAUUGCGAAGGCAGGUUACUACUAAGUGAUUGACGCUGAUGGACGAAAGCGUGGGGAGCGAACAGGAUUAGAUACCCUGGUAGUCCACGCCGUAAACGAUGGAUACUAGCUGUUCGGCGCAAGUUGAGUGGCUAAGCGAAAGUGAUAAGUAUCCCACCUGGGGAGUACGCACGCAAGUGUGAAACUCAAAGGAAUUGACGGGGGCCCGCACAAGCGGUGGAGCAUGUGGUUUAAUUCGAUGAUACGCGAGGAACCUUACCAGGGCUUAAAUGUAGAUUGACAGGACUGGAAACAGUUUUUUCUUCGGACAAUUUACAAGGUGCUGCAUGGUUGUCGUCAGCUCGUGCCGUGAGGUGUCAGGUUAAGUCCUAUAACGAGCGCAACCCCUGUCGUUAGUUGCCAGCGAGUCAUGUCGGGAACUCUAACGAGACUGCCAGUGUAAACUGUGAGGAAGGUGGGGAUGACGUCAAAUCAUCACGGCCCUUACGUCCUGGGCCACACACGUGCUACAAUGGUAGGUACAGAGAGCAGCCACUGCGCGAGCAGGAGCGAAUCUAUAAAACCCACUACAGAGACAGUUCUAAACCUUGCUGAUUUAUUCAACCAAUCCCCACGCGCCGCA
rnacentral:rRNA from 1 species